rnacentral:RNase_P_RNA from 1 species
CAGUAUUCUGAGGAAAGUCCGGGCUUCACAGGGUAAGAAUAACGGCUAACAGCCGUCGGGGGCGACCCUAGGGAAAGUGCAACAGAAAUAUACCGCCGUUUUUCAACGGUAAGGGUGGAAAGGCGAGGUAAAAGCUCACCGUCGGUUUUGGGAACUCAACCGACCUGUAAACCCUAUUCGAAGCAACACCGUGGUACAAGACAGUAUAUAUUGACCCGAUAUGUCUUAGGAGGUGGCACCUGAGCAAAGCGGUAACGCUUUGCCAAGAUAGAUAGUCGUUCACGACAGAACGCGGCUUACAGGUUCAGU